GGUGAUGAGGUGGUGGUCCUAAGACAGGCUGUCCAAAGCUAGGUUCUCCAUAUCAUGUACCAUAGGUGUUGUAAGGAGAAUAGACUCCACGAGCAUAAGCAGGUGCAGGAGGUCCAAAGUGACCGUUGGAAACAGGACCAUUUGUGGAAGCACUACCUCGAGAAUCCAUUGAAGCCUUCGACUAAGAAAUAUUAGCUUCACAACCACUAUUGAUUUCCAAAUCUUUUAUGCCUUUCUCUAUUCGAACCUCUUGUGACAUAAGAAGUGCUUCAAUCUCAGCCACGGUGUAAGCUUCUGUUCUUGUGUUGAUAGAAGUGAUGAACACUUCAUAAUCCUUGGAUAAGCCAUUGAAGAUGGCUUCAAUAUGAUCUUGAGCAGUGAACACAUGACUAAUGGAGGCCAAGGUAUCAACAAUCCUCUCGAUCUUCAAAAGACAAUCAUCAAGAUUUCCAGUCAUCCGAGUAUUGCGCAGAAGCGUUUGAAUUGCCCAUUCUUGGCUUGAUUUUGAGCUGUGUAGUGUUCACGGAGAGCUAUCUAGAUCUUAGCAGUGGUCUCAGAUCCAACCAUCCUAGUGAGGCUUUUCUCCGACAUCGACGAGAGAAGACAGUGAGAUACUUCGGUGGAGUGAGAGUUUCAUCAAGGUGCUUCAAGAGUCUACUACCUUUGAUUGCAUGAAAAAAUUUGCUCUUCCAUGGAAGGUAAUUGUGUUAAUCAAGACGAACAGAAAGAGAAUGAGAAAAGGUAACAGGAGAUGUUUUUGGUAACAAAGUUAUGGUUUGAUUUUGUGAAACUGUAGCAUUGGUUGGCAAGGACGAAUCACCAGAAGUAGUAUUCGAAGAGUUCACCAUUGUUGAAGACGAGAAAGCUCUGAUACCAUAUCAAGACUCAAAGAACAAAUUUGGAAAAAUGUGAUAAUCUUAUUGAAUGAAUUAAGUUACAGAGUUUAUAUA